GCUUAACACAUGCAAGUCGAACGGAAAGGCCCUGCUUUUGUGGGGUGCUCGAGUGGCGAACGGGUGAGUAACACGUGAGUAACCUGCCCUUGACUUUGGGAUAACUUCAGGAAACUGGGGCUAAUACCGGAUAGGAGCUCCUGCUGCAUGGUGGGGGUUGGAAAGUUUCGGCGGUUGGGGAUGGACUCGCGGCUUAUCAGCUUGUUGGUGGGGUAGUGGCUUACCAAGGCUUUGACGGGUAGCCGGCCUGAGAGGGUGACCGGCCACAUUGGGACUGAGAUACGGCCCAGACUCCUACGGGAGGCAGCAGUGGGGAAUAUUGCACAAUGGGCGGAAGCCUGAUGCAGCAACGCCGCGUGUGGGAUGACGGCCUUCGGGUUGUAAACCGCUUUCGCCUGUGACGAAGCGUGAGUGACGGUAAUGGGUAAAGAAGCACCGGCUAACUACGUGCCAGCAGCCGCGGUGAUACGUAGGGUGCGAGCGUUGUCCGGAUUUAUUGGGCGUAAAGGGCUCGUAGGUGGUUGAUCGCGUCGGAAGUGUAAUCUUGGGGCUUAACCCUGAGCGUGCUUUCGAUACGGGUUGACUUGAGGAAGGUAGGGGAGAAUGGAAUUCCUGGUGGAGCGGUGGAAUGCGCAGAUAUCAGGAGGAACACCAGUGGCGAAGGCGGUUCUCUGGGCCUUUCCUGACGCUGAGGAGCGAAAGCGUGGGGAGCGAACAGGCUUAGAUACCCUGGUAGUCCACGCUGUAAACGGUGGGUACUAGGUGUGGGGUCCAUUCCACGGGUUCCGUGCCGUAGCUAACGCUUUAAGUACCCCGCCUGGGGAGUACGGCCGCAAGGGUUAAAACUCAAAGGGAUUGGACGGGGGCCCCGCACAAGGCGGCGGAGCCAUGCGGAUUUAAUUUCGAUGCAAACGCGUAGGAACCUUACCUGGGUUUGACAUGGAUCGGGAGUGCUCAGAGAUGGGUGUGCCUCUUUUGGGGUCGGUUCACAGGUGGUGCAUGGCUGUCGUCAGCUCGUGUCGUGAGAUGUUGGGUUAAGUCCCGCAACGAGCGCAACCCUUGUUCACUGUUGCCAGCACGUUAUGGUGGGGACUCAGUGGAGACCGCCGGGGUCAACUCGGAGGAAGGUGGGGAUGACGUCAAGUCAUCAUGCCCCUUAUGUCCAGGGCUUCACGCAUGCUACAAUGGCUGGUACAGAGAGUGGCGAGCCUGUGAGGGUGAGCGAAUCUCGGAAAGCCGGUCUCAGUUCGGAUUGGGGUCUGCAACUCGACCUCAUGAAGUCGGAGUCGCUAGUAAUCGCAGAUCAGCAACGCUGCGGUGAAUACGUUCCCGGGGCUUGUACACACCGCCCGUCAAGUCAUGAAAGUUGGUAACACCCGAAGCCGGUGGCCUAACCAUUGUGGGGGAGCCGUCGAAGGUGGGACUGGUGAUUAGG
rnacentral:rRNA from 1 species